CGGGGGGCAGCAGUGAGGAAUUUUGCGCAAUGGGGGUAACCCUGACGCAGCAACGCCGCGUGAGUGAAGAAGGCCUUUGGGUCGUAAAGCUCUGUCGACAGGGAAGAAGUUAGAGUUUUCUAAUAGGAGAUUCUAUUGACGGUACCUGUAGAGGAAGCACCGGCUAACUCCGUGCCAGCAGCCGCGGUAAUACGGGGGGUGCAAGCGUUAUUCGGAAUUAUUGGGCGUAAAGGGCGCGUAGGCGGUCUUGUCGGUCAGAUGUGAAAGCCCGGGGCUCAACCCUGGAAGUGCAUUUGAAACAGCAAGACUUGAGUACGGGAGAGGAAAGCGGAAUUCCUGGUGUAGAGGUGAAAUUCGUAGAUAUCAGGAGGAACACCGAUGGCGAAGGCAGCUUUCUGGACCGAUACUGACGCUGAGGCGCGAAGGUGUGGGUAGCGAACGGGAUUAGAUACCCGGGUAGUC
rnacentral:rRNA from 1 species